UAACAAGGAUUCCCCUAGUAGCGGCGAGCGAAGCGGGAAGAGCUCAAAUUUAUAAUCUGGCACUUUCAGUGUCCGAGUUGUAAUCUCUAGAAGUGUUUUCCGCAUUGGACCGCACACAAGUCUGUUGGAAUACAGCGGCACAGUGGUGAGACCCCCGUAUACGGUGCGGAUGCCCAAUGCUUUGUGAUACACUUUCGAAGAGUCGAGUUGUUUGGGAAUGCAGCUCAAAUUGGGUGGUAAAUUCCAUCUAAAGCUAAAUAUUGGCGAGAGACCGAUAGCGAACAAGUACCGUGAGGGAAAGAUGAAAAGCACUUUGGAAAGAGAGUUAACAGUACGUGAAAUUGUUGGAAGGGAAACGCUUGAAGUCAGACUUGCUAUUCGGGGCUUGCUCCGAGUUGCAGGCCAGCAUCAGUUUUCUGGGGUGGAAAAUCACGGUUAGAAGGUAGCAACUUCGGUUGUGUUAUAGCUUUCCGUUGGAUACAUCCUGGGGGACUGAGGAACGCAGUGUGCUUUUAGCAGGAGCUUCGGCUUCAUCACACUUAGGAUGCUGGUGGAAUGGCUUAA
rnacentral:rRNA from 1 species